CCAGACUUCUACGGGAGGCAGCAGUGGGGAAUAUUGCACAAUGGGGGGAACCCUGAUGCAGCGACGCCGCGUGGGCGAGGAAGUAUUUCGGUAUGUAAAGCCCUAUCGGCAGGGAAGAAGGAGGACGGUACCUGACUAAGAAGCCCCGGCUAACUACGUGCCAGCAGCCGCGGGAAUACGUAGGGGGCAAGCGUUAUCCGGAUUUACUGGGUGUAAAGGGGGCGCAGGCGGCAGCGCAAGCCAGGAGUGAAAGCCCGGGGCCCAACCCCGGGACUGCUCUUGGAACUGCGCGGCUGGAGUGCAGGAGGGGCAGGCGGAAUUCCUAGUGUAGCGGUGAAAUGCGUAGAUAUUAGGAGGAACACCGGUGGCGAAGGCGGCCUGCUGGACUGUGACUGACGUUGAGGCUCGAAAGCGUGGGGAGCAAACAGGAUUAGAUACCCUAGUA
rnacentral:rRNA from 1 species